rnacentral:rRNA from 1 species
GGGUUGUGAGGUUAAGCGACUAAGCGUACACGGUGGAUGCCCUGGCAGUCAGAGGCGAUGAAGGACGUGCUAAUCUGCGAAAAGCGUCGGUAAGGUGAUAUGAACCGUUACAGCCGGCGAUGUCCGAAUGGGGAAACCCAGUGCAAUUCGUUGCACUAUCGUUAACUGAAUACAUAGGUUAACGAGGCGAACCGGGGGAACUGAAACAUCUAAGUACCCCGAGGAAAAGAAAUCAACCGAGAUUCCCCCAGUAGCGGCGAGCGAACGGGGAGCAGCCCAGAGUCUGAAUCAGCUUGUGUGUUAGUGGAACGGUCUGGAAAGUCCGACGGUACAGGGUGAUAGUCCCGUACACCAAAAUGCACAGGUUGUGAACUCGAAGAGUAGGGCGGGACACGUGGUAUCCUGUCUGAAUAUGGGGGGACCAUCCUCCAAGGCUAAAUACUCCUGACUGACCGAUAGUGAACCAGUACCGUGAGGGAAAGGCGAAAAGAACCCCGGCGAGGGGAGUGAAAAAGAACCUGAAACCGUGUACGUACAAGCAGUGGGAGCACCUUCGGGUGUGACUGCGUACCUUUUGUAUAAUGGGUCAGCGACUUAUAUUCUGUAGCAAGGUUAACCGUAUAGGGGAGCCGCAGGGAAACCGAGUCUUAACUGGGCGUUAAGUUGCAGGGUAUAGACCCGAAACCCGGUGAUCUAGCCAUGGGCAGGUUGAAGGUUGGGUAACACUAACUGGAGGACCGAACCGACUAAUGUUGAAAAAUUAGCGGAUGACUUGUGGCUGGGGGUGAAAGGCCAAUCAAACCGGGAGAUAGCUGGUUCUCCCCGAAAGCUAUUUAGGUAGCGCCUCGUGAACUCAUCUUCGGGGGUAGAGCACUGUUUCGGCUAGGGGGUCAUCCCGACUUACCAACCCGAUGCAAACUACGAAUACCGAAGAAUGUUAUCACGGGAGACACACGGCGGGUGCUAACGUCCGUCGUGAAGAGGGAAACAACCCAGACCGCCAGCUAAGGUCCCAAAGUCACAGUUAAGUGGGAAACGAUGUGGGAAGGCACAGACAGCCAGGAUGUUGGCUUAGAAGCAGCCAUCAUUUAAAGAAAGCGUAAUAGCUCACUGGUCGAGUCGGCCUGCGCGGAAGAUGUAACGGGGCUAAACUGUGCACCGAAGCUGCGGCAGCGACACUUAGGUGUUGUUGGGUAGGGGAGCGUUCUGUAAGCCUGCGAAGGUGGCCUGUGAGGGUUGCUGGAGGUAUCAGAAGUGCGAAUGCUGACAUAAGUAACGAUAAUGCGGGUGAAAAGCCCGCACGCCGGAAGACCAAGGGUUCCUGUCCAACGUUAAUCGGGGCAGGGUGAGUCGACCCCUAAGGCGAGGCCGAAAGGCGUAGUCGAUGGGAAACAGGUUAAUAUUCCUGUACUUGGUGUUACUGCGAAGGGGGGACGGAGAAGGCUAUGUUAGCCGGGCGACGGUUGUCCCGGUUUAAGCAUGUAGGCGGAGGUUCCAGGUAAAUCCGGUACCUUUUUAACGCUGAGGUGUGAUGACGAGGCACUACGGUGCUGAAGUAACAAAUGCCCUGCUUCCAGGAAAAGCCUCUAAGCAUCAGGUAACAUUAAAUCGUACCCCAAACCGACACAGGUGGUCAGGUAGAGAAUACCAAGGCGCUUGAGAGAACUCGGGUGAAGGAACUAGGCAAAAUGGUGCCGUAACUUCGGGAGAAGGCACGCUGAUAUGUAGGUGAAGCCCCUGCGGGUGGAGCUGAAAUCAGUCGAAGAUACCAGCUGGCUGCAACUGUUUAUUAAAAACACAGCACUGUGCAAACACGAAAGUGGACGUAUACGGUGUGACGCCUGCCCGGUGCCGGAAGGUUAAUUGAUGGGGUUAUCCGUAAGGAGAAGCUCUUGAUCGAAGCCCCGGUAAACGGCGGCCGUAACUAUAACGGUCCUAAGGUAGCGAAAUUCCUUGUCGGGUAAGUUCCGACCUGCACGAAUGGCGUAAUGAUGGCCAGGCUGUCUCCACCCGAGACUCAGUGAAAUUGAACUCGCUGUGAAGAUGCAGUGUACCCGCGGCAAGACGGAAAGACCCCGUGAACCUUUACUAUAGCUUGACACUGAACAUUGAGCCUUGAUGUGUAGGAUAGGUGGGAGGCUUUGAAGCGUGGACGCCAGUCUGCGUGGAGCCAACCUUGAAAUACCACCCUUUAAUGUUUGAUGUUCUAACGUUGGCCCCUUAUCGGGGUUGCGGACAGUGUCUGGUGGGUAGUUUGACUGGGGCGGUCUCCUCCCAAAGAGUAACGGAGGAGCACGAAGGUUAGCUAAUCCUGGUCGGACAUCAGGAGGUUAGUGCAAUGGCAUAAGCUAGCUUGACUGCGAGCGUGACGGCGCGAGCAGGUGCGAAAGCAGGUCAUAGUGAUCCGGUGGUUCUGAAUGGAAGGGCCAUCGCUCAACGGAUAAAAGGUACUCCGGGGAUAACAGGCUGAUACCGCCCAAGAGUUCAUAUCGACGGCGGUGUUUGGCACCUCGAUGUCGGCUCAUCACAUCCUGGGGCUGAAGUAGGUCCCAAGGGUAUGGCUGUUCGCCAUUUAAAGUGGUACGCGAGCUGGGUUUAGAACGUCGUGAGACAGUUCGGUCCCUAUCUGCCGUGGGCGCUGGAGAAUUGAGGGGGGCUGCUCCUAGUACGAGAGGACCGGAGUGGACGCAUCACUGGUGUUCGGGUUGUCAUGCCAAUGGCAUUGCCCGGUAGCUAAAUGCGGAAGAGAUAAGUGCUGAAAGCAUCUAAGCACGAAACUUGCCCCGAGAUGAGUUCUCCCUGAGACUUUAAGUCUCCUGAAGGAACGUUAAAGACGAUGACGUUGAUAGGUCGGGUGUGUAAGCGUAGCGAUACGUUGAGCUAACCGAUACUAAUGAACCGUGAGGCUUAACCUUACAACGCCGAAGGUGUUU